GACGAACGCUGGCGGCGUGCUUAACACAUGCAAGUCGAACGAAGAGCGAUGGAAGCUUGCUUCUCUCAAUCUUAGUGGCGAACGGGUGAGUAACGCGUAAUCAACCUGCCCUUCAGAGGGGGACAACAGUUGGAAACGACUGCUAAUACCGCAUACGAUCUAAUCUCGGCAUCGAGGAUAGAUGAAAGGUGGCCUCUACAUGUAAGCUAUCACUGAAGGAGGGGAUUGCGUCUGAUUAGCUAGUUGGAUGGGUAACGGCCCACCAAGGCGAUGAUCGGUAGCCGGUCUGAGAGGAGGGACGGCCACAUUGGGACUGAGACACGGCCCAGACUCCUACGGGAGGCAGCAGUGGGGAAUCUUCCGCAAUGGACGAAAGGCUGACGGAGCAACGCCGCGUGAGUGAUGACGGCCGUCGGGUUGUAAAGCUCUGUUAAUCGGGACGAAAGGCCUUCUUGCGAAUAGUGAGAAGGAUUGACGGUACCGGAAUAGAAAGCCACGGCUAACUACGUG
rnacentral:rRNA from 1 species